rfam:Gongylonema pulchrum genome assembly, scaffold: GPTH_scaffold0010974
AGUGUUUUUGCGUGCUUAUUAGACGAAUUCACUUAAAUCGAACAGA